rnacentral:rRNA from 1 species
AUUGAACGCUGGCGGCAGGCCUAACACAUGCAAGUCGAACGAGUGGCGGACGGGUGAGUAAUGUCUGGGAAACUGCCUGAUGGAGGGGGAUAACUACUGGAAACGGUAGCUAAUACCGCAUACCAUCGGAUGUGCCCAGAUGGGAUUAGCUAGUAGGUGGGGUAAAGGCUCACCUAGGCGACGAUCCCUAGCUGGUCUGCGAGGAUGACCGGCCACACGGGAACUGAGACACGGCCCAGACUCCUACGGGAGGCAGCAGUGGGGAAGAUUGGACAAUGGGGGAAAGCCGGAUGCAGCCAGGCCGCUUGUAUGAAAAAGGCCUUCGGGUUGUAAAGUACGUUCAGCGGGGAGGCGUUACCCGCAGAAGAAGCACCGGCUAACUCCGUGCCAGCAGCCGCGGUAAUAC